UGUUUGUAGAAAACAAGUUAUCAACGAAAAAAAAGGAGAAAAAUGCUGGCUCUUAUUUUUGGGAUCAGGAUUUUUUAUUUAAAAAAGUGGAUUAAUCGUGACCAACCAACAUGUAGUGAAGAACACAAAAAUAGUUGAGAUGUGCCUGCACAACUCAUCAAAACUUGCAAAGCCAAAGUUGUAGCCACUGACCAAAAUUUAGAUGUUGCAGUUUUACAAACUAUGCAAUAAAAUAAGAUAAUUUUUGUAUGCAAUUUCUUAUUUUUUGUAUAUUACUAAAUUGCACUAUCUUGUCGCAGGUCUUUCCAAAGUUAGAUUGAAGCGACACUGAAAAAGUCAAGGUGGAAGAUAAAAUAUUCUCAAUCGGAUUCCCGGAAAACAUUAAUAUAGUAAAUUCCGGUAUUAAUUACAGCAAAAAAUGUUCAUCCCAGGACAUGAAUACCUAUUACCUAUCACUGCAUAGCGAAAUGUCGGGGGGUCCGAUAAUUGAUCAAAAUGGAAAUGUGAUAGCGAUUAUCGUGGCGACGUAUAAAAAAAUAGUUCAUCUGGGCAUAUCAAUAAACC